rnacentral:lncRNA from 13 species
AGCAGCACCUCUCCAUCACUGCCAGCAUUUUUCUACUAAAACCUCGCCCUCCCUCUCCCAAACGCCGAGGACAAGGCACAUGGAACUGCUGUCCCACAGGGAUGGGGAUUCCUACCUUCAGAGACCCCUGCAAAAAAGCAGAUACUGAGUAUGACAGAUGAUCCUUACAGGGUUGAUCUGGCAAAUCUGACUGGAAAAUUCAGACUACUAUGCCUUGGUGGAGGCUCUAAAAUUAAGACUUUUGAGAGAGCUGCACACACAGUGAAAUGUCUCAUUAAAAUUAAAUGAGAAAAUUAUUAGAAACCUGUGCCUCAUCAAACAUGUUAAUGCUGAAAAUGAGGAGAACUAGCAAUGCCUGCCUGCUGAUUGUUUGGGUAAGGAGUGAAAUGAGGACUGUGAAAUGUAGUAGAACCAUUACCUGUACAGCAGUGGAAGUCCUGGAGAAUGAAUGAACUCAAAAAGAAGGACAGGUGCCUGAGACACCAACGUAGGGGUCAGUUUCAGGUUGCUGUCACACAGGCCUCUUCCUUGGGGAGAUUUGUCCAAGGGUAACCUCUGAAUACACAAGAAGCAAAAGAGGACAAAAAACUCAGUCAAUUCCAAAAAGAACAGUCCUGGUUUGAAUAGCAAGCAAUGAAUGAAGGAAAGACCAGGACUUUCUUUUAACAGUGAUGGACUGAAUGGCAAGCCUUGUUCUACAACGAGGUAAAACAUUCCCCACAGAAGUUUUAAUUAGCAGGAAAUUCAUUUUCUGUACUUUUACUGUUUUCCGUUGCAGACUCAAGACCCUUUGAGAAUUUGAAUUACAAAACCUGGCAGAGUAAAAUAAAACACUGCAAAAAGAAUGAAAUGAUCUUCAAAUAUAGAAGAACAAAUGCCAGUAUGGAAGCUGAGGAGUCAUAAUCCUUCUCUCAUAGAAAACAAACCUGUUCUGGCUUAGAGAAUUUCAGCUCAGGCCUGGUAUUAGAAAUGCAAGGCUUCAUACUGAUAAACAACCCUCUCCUUUUUUCCUUCAGUUCAAGGGCAUGACAAAAACUGAACAGGUUCAGUUUCCUUAGCCAGGAAUUCCUACAGUGUACGUUAAUAUCUGCUGAGUCACGGCAGAUAUUAUUUUCCCUUUAAUUUCUUUUUGGAAUAGAAUCUCCUUCUUGGGAAACUAAAAACAAGGCACUGGACCUGAGAUCUGAUACCAAACUCCUUAUGGCUGGCAGGGAGUUUGUUUCUGUAGGUGGACCUGGCUGCAACUGUCCCCAGAAGCAUUCAUUCUGUGCGGCCUAAAUUGUUCUAUAAUGCAAAGUGACUCUUCACCUGGUAAAGUUGGAAAAUAGGAAACAGAUUAAAAAUGAAAAUUGAUUAAGAGAGAAUGAAAGACAUCAUCAAGAUCGCUUAUAAAUUUAUGUUUAAAUUAGGUAAACGAUCUGAAGAUUGUCAUAUCCCAGCCAAGUUUGUCUUUCCCAGCACAAUUGGCUUGCAGGCACCAUUCAGACACAUCCCAAAGAGAAGAAAAUGCAUUUUCUAGUAAUAUGAACAUUGUGAUCCAAGAAAGGAAAAAGAAAUUACUGCCACCUCUGUUUCUCUUAGUGCAUUGUUUUUAAGUUUUGAUACCAUUUUACAUUUUAUAUAUGACCAUAUUCUUUCAUGAAGGGGUCAGCACAUAAUUGUGGCCAUAUGUAACAGCUCCUUAGGUAUAAAGAGUGUUUAAUAUUGCUUCAUAAGCAGUUCUUUUGGCAAAAUUAACAAAGAUUCAGACGGGAUUUAAGGACACUAAAAAUCAGGUUCAUGGCUGUGGGUGGAAAAAAGAAGGAAGUCUUAAGAUAUUUUCAACCUACCAUGCUAACUUCAAGUUGUAGUAAGCACAAUACUGUCAAUGUAGUCAUGUUUGAUUUGGAGCAAAGCAGAUUAAAAGUCCUUUCCCUGGAUAUUGGUCAAUGCAAAUAAUACCGUCACAUACAAGUUCAUGUAGUAUGAAUUCUCAGGAUAUUUUUUUCUAGGCAAUUCUAAGGAGGUUUGAAGUUUACAUUUAAUUUGAAGAAGGGGGUUUGUUUAAAUCUUACUUGAAUUAGUCAAAGGCCAUCAAAUUGAUGUGGGCUAGAAACCUGUGAAAACCUUUCAUUAUCUAUCCAGCAUUUAUGCCACAUUUCAC